rnacentral:lncRNA from 1 species
AAAAACAAAAACUGGAACAGUUGAACCCAUUAUCAGUGAUGCAGGCCUGCGCAGCGAGACACCGGCGCCGAUCGAGCGGUUGAGUGUUAAUCUAUCGCUACGGACGCGAACAGCUGACAAGGUCCAAAUUGGUCAGAACCGCUCUGUGAAGCAGUCCUUCCAGAAAGACAAGCAAAUCCGGCCGGCAAAAUCAUAUUACAGACAGACAGGACAAUGCACGCUAAACAAGUUAAGAGGACGAAUUGUACUGUAAUACUGUAUGACCAACAAAGACGGAAAUACGACGGCACGCAGCAGAUGAGUGACCGAGUAUAAACGGAAGAUCGAAUAAGUAUAUAAAGAAGUGAUCAAGCAUCACCAGCCAUCAGCAUCAGGCUAAGCGAGCAGACAAUCGCUUCGCUGCUUAUUCAAACGGAGAAGUUGUGUGACACGGAGGAAGUGCAUUGAUCAUAAUACUACUACAGGCUAAAGAGAUGGUAUCAUAGUAGGUCGACACUCACAUGUCAAAGUGCAUUCUGACUGGGCAUCAACACAAUCCAUAGUUCCAUACUCCACAAAAAUGGUAUAUAUGUUGGUCCUACUACCAAAAUGGCUCCCAAGUUCUCAGGCCCAUGUUUUUUUUCUUUCUAUUUGGAGAAAAUUCACCACUGAUAUGUGCCUCACUAUCUUGUGCUGAUCCAUAGAUAGAAGAAAAAAAAGGUAAGCACACUGGUCAUGCAUGACACUCCUACCACUAUCAUGAUGGAGAAUUAAUCUUGCAAACCACUCUCCAAUCUACACAACUUUAUGGAUAGGAUUUUAAGGUUCUCAUAUGGUCGGUAAGUUCAGUUAUCUUAACAAAGUGAAUCAAACAUGAAGAAUGAGGGAACCAAAAUAAACCGUUAUUGUUGGUUUCAUGAAAAGCCCGGUUCCAAUUAAGCGUAGUUACAACUUCCUGGUGCCCUCUUACAUAAAAACAUCUUCACUCAUCCCUAGAUAGCGGCUUUUGCCCUUAGGAUUUGUCCAUUGUCAUCCCAUUCAGACUAGGUGUAAUGAAAAUGACAGGGCUCUAAUGACACAUACAGAUCUUGGGAGAAAAACUAGCGCAUCCCGGC